GACCUCAGAAUCAACUGAAAAAUUUUUCUUUUUAUAACUGGAAAUAUCAAUAUAAAAAUCAUGAGUAGUCAAGUAAUCAAUAUUACAAUUCGUAUAAUCUACUGGUAUGAUUUCGUAUGCGUAAUUUAAUUGUAGCUUAACGUCUUUAAUAUUUUCACUAUCUGAUUUUACACUUCCGUACCCAUGAAAGAUUAUUAUAACUAAAAUUAUUGUUUUUAUUAUUCUUUUCAUACCUCUCCUCGUUCACCUCGUACCCCACAAACUACUUUAUCCUAAAAAACCAUAAAAUCAACAUUGAGGACUUUUUUGGUUCCCAUAAAUUGUUAACUAUGUCAUUUUAGAGCAAUCAUAUAGAGACUAAGAUAUAAUUUUACCAAAGUUUUGAAAGCUAUUGAAGAGUAUCUUGAUUUUGUCUAGGUUCUAAGCACCUGUAAGGGUGCUUUUUGUGCUUUAGCCAACCUCAUAGUCUAGUAAACCCUCACUGAAACAGUCCCUUAAAGUUCCACCACUGAUCUUGGAUGUUUUCGCUUAACCGCUGAUGCCAAGGUUUAUUAGCCUCUCUUUCGGUUUGUUUUUUAAACAUCUCUAGUGCAUCAUUUUCAAGAUCUUGUCUCUCUAGGUCAUCCUCAAUUUUCUUAAUUUCUUCUUCGUAUUGUUUGUCUUCUUUUAUGGAUAGUGAAUCUCUAUAGAAGCAGUAACCUGCUCCCCAAAAAUCUUCAUCUCUGAAUGUCAAAGUGACUCUCUCACCUUUUGUAAGUUGGGAUGAUAAUUUAAUAGUAUGUUGGGUACCAUAAGGUAAUCUUUUAGAAAAUUGACCUUCUUUAUUCUCUGAGCUAUUGCUUAAAGGUUUUUGUUCUCCAGAAUUAGAAAUGCUUGAUUUUGGUGAAUGUUCUCUAGAAAUUUUGACCGACCAAGCUUGAGGAAGCCAGACUUUGAUUUUAGAUUCUCCAACAGAAAAAUCUGAUACACUAACUUCUUUUACUUUUUCCUGUAAUCCAUCAAGUAUAAACUUAUUCUGUUCAUCCUCCGCUCUGACGCUACUAGUUACCCCGAUGGCAAAGAGUGCCAGU
rnacentral:antisense_RNA from 1 species